CAGCUAUAGUGGUGCUUGAUUAGUUGAUUAUAUGGCCAAAAUUCCAACACUGAAAAAUGGAAGAAGAAUCCUACAAGAAGUACGAAGGAUGCACCGUUAAUGAAUGCGAAAACAUGAUUCAAAGAAGUCUACGGACUCCAAUGGUGAAAUUUUUGAUGGAGCAUAUGGAUAAAGCUGGGUGUAAGUUAGGUGAUAAUUUCAUCAAAGCAGUUAAUUGCGAACAACAAAUGGGCGGAGGCUAUCUUCGUGGCAAUGGGAUAGUGGUGUGUAGCAACCAUAUGAAAAUUCAAGACGAUGUCAAUCAAGUAGUUAUACAUGAGCUUAUUCAUGCAUAUGAUGAAUGCCGUGCUGCAAACUUGGACUGGUCAAAUUGUGCUCAUCAUGCCUGUAGUGAGAUUCGUGCUGGACAUCUAAGUGGUGAUUGCCAUUACAAACGAGAAUUGUUGCGGGGUUUUAUGAAGAUAAGAGGCCAUGAACAAGACUGUGUGAGACGAAGAGUUAUGAAAUCAGUGACUUCAAACCCUUUCUGCUCUGAAACAGCCGCAAAGGAUGCCAUGGAAGCCGUGUGGGACAUCUGUUAUAACGACACGAAGCCCUUUGACAGAGCUCCUUGAAGUCCAGUCAUGGCAAUCCCUACCGAGAUUCUUAAUUGUUUUCAUUUCCAUCAUAGUUGAACU